GAGGAUGACGGUGUUAUACGGCGUAGGGCUGUGGCCGCCAUUUUGUGUGGGAGAUAGAGGGGGAGCGGCAGGAGUUGGUGGAGCGAGUUGGACUGAGCUUUGCGGGGGGGGGGUGGGGGUCGAAGAGUGACGGCGGAGGAGCAGCGGGGUCGGCUCCUAGAGGCCCGUGUGUGUGUGUCUGUGCUUGUGAGCGAACGAGACGGACAGAAGUCGUUUUCUGUGAAACAAAGGUUGAGACUUCUCCCCUGGAGCCUCUGUGCCGAGAAUCCGAUGUUGGGCUCGGCUACCUGGCUGAACGCAGCAGAUCAGCCCAUGAAAACUUCUAUUCCUAGCCAAAGGAAGGAGUCCAGCAAAAGGCAGCACCUACUCUUUCAGGCUUGGAAGCAAGAAAGGGGACAGGAGUUGGAGUGUGUGGAAUCUGAGAAGACAACUGAAAGGUGACAUUUAAGUU
rnacentral:lncRNA from 1 species